rnacentral:rRNA from 1 species
UACGUAGGGGGCGAGCGUUGUCCGGAGUUACUGGGCGUAAAGCGCUUGUAGGCGGUCCACCAAGUUUGGGGUGACAGUUGCCGACUUAAUCGGCAAAGUGCCUCAAAGACUGGCGGACUUGAGGGCCACAGAGGGACAUGGAACUCCAGGUGUAGUGGUGAAAUGCGUAGAUAUCUGGAGGAACAUCUGUGGCGAAGGCGGCCACCUGGACCAACACUGACACUGAGGCACGAAAGCGUGGGGAGCAAACAGG